rnacentral:misc_RNA from 1 species
CCGAGCGUCCCGGCCCCCUAGGGCUGGCGGCCUCACCAUCCUUUGCUUAAAACUCUCCUUGCGGGGCCCCCCCAGAGGGCCCUUGGACCCGGCCGCUGGGGCAGACCCCCCUCCGGGAAACAGGGGGCGCCCCGCCCUCCGCUCCGGCAGCCGGGCCCGAACCCAAACCUUGAAACGUGUCUUUUUCGGCCCAGCCGAACCAAACA